AGAGCGAACGCUGGCGGCAGGCCUAACACAUGCAAGUCGAGCGCCCCGCAAGGGGAGCGGCAGACGGGAGAGUAACACGUGGGAACGUACCCUUCAGUUCGGAACAACCCAGGGAAACUUGGGCUAAUACCGAAUACGUCCGUAAGGAGAAAGAUUUAUCGCUGAAGGAUCGGCCCGCGUCUGAUUAGCUAGUUGGUGAGGUAACGGCUCACCAAGGCUACGAUCAGUAGCUGGUCUGAGAGGAUGAUCAGCCUCACUGGGACUGAGACACGGCCCAGACUCCUACGGGAGGCAGCAGUGGGGAAUAUUGCGCAAUGGGCGAAAGCCUGACGCAGCGACGCCGCGUGGGGGAUGAAGCUUCUCGGAGUGUAAACCCCUUUCGACCCGGACGAAUGACCCGCAAGGGUUUGACGGUACGGGUAUAAGAAGCCCGGCUAACUACGUGCCAGCAGCCGC
rnacentral:rRNA from 1 species